GGGUAAGUAACUUAAAAAGGUUAAAGUGUUCCGCUCAUAACGGAAAAAUUGAAGGUUCAAAUCCUUUUUUACCUU
rnacentral:tRNA from 1 species